rnacentral:tRNA from 1 species
GCGGGUAUGGUCUAGUGGUAUGAUGCGACCUUCCCAAGGUUGAGACGCGAGUCCGAUUCUCGCUACCCGCACCA